GGAUAUGCAAUUUUAUCACAGUUUGAUACGAUGACAAAAGUUAUAGAAUCAUUUCGUCGAGUAUUCAACACUGAUGUUUGUCCUGCAGACAACAAGUAUGACUGUUUUCUAAAGUGUUCAUUAUAUAAAGAUUCAACUUAUGUUGUGUACUUUAAAACGAUCUGUCAGUGUAUUGUUAAUCUCACUGUUAGUCUGGACACAUCUUCCAACUACUGUGUGGAGAACCGUACAUUGUGUAAUGAUUUGUACUGUCAGGGUGACACUGGGUUGUUAUUCUUUGCAAUUAGUAGAACAUAUAUUGCUCAAAUGGACAAAAAACUUAAUUUAUCAGUGUACAGUGUGCCAACUUUGCAUUGUCUUCUCAUAACAAAAAAUGUAUAUGAUAUAAAGCCUAUAAAAGAUUGCGAACAAAAACUAAAGAAAAUUGAGUGUGAUGUCAUGGUUAUCAGCAUUAUAUUCCGAAUCGGAAAUAUAUAUAUACAGCGGACGUGCAAUCAUUCACAAAGUUAUAAUAGUAAAAUGUACUUCAGAGUUAUAUCACUCAAAUAUAACAAAGAUGCAACAAACGCAUUUCCUAAUACUCAAACCAUUACACACACAACAACAAAAAAUAAACUGGAUUCUGUUUCACAAGCAGAUCAAACAACUAUCUUCAAUCAAAACGACAGCAUUAUAUACGCUACAGCAAUAAACACAUAUGGCAGAACAACAUAAACAGUUAAUUACGGUAUUAUUAUUUGCAACUGUGUUCUAUUUAUACUGGUACUUAGUGUCUGGGCCGUUCUGUGGUUGAUGCGUCACAGAUCAAGAAAACAAGUUUCGAUUCGAACGUCCGAAGAGACAUCAUCCAGAGAGGUUCCAAGGAUGUCAAAUUACGACACCAUUAGUUUGAAUACCAUUCCACAUCCUAUUCAUGUAACAAACGAAACGUAUAGUGCGGUAUGGGUCUAAUGAACGUGCAGACUUCUUAGAUCAGGAUGCUAGUCUUGUACAAAGAUACUUAUAGCACUGUUCCUUUGAAUUUAUUUUGAUGAGAUUAUUGUCUAAUUUGAAUUCAUUUAAUAUGUAUAUUUAAAAACAAAGUCAUUAGGUAAAUGUAUUAAGGAAAAACUAAAAUAAAAUAUGCAUUGGA